CAACGUAGGCUGUUACGAUCUAAUGGGUGUGAUAUCGCUUGUGACGUAACGCAUGCGACGUAGCAGGAAGUAGGUGAAACGAUUUAGUUUGGAGACGCGUAUAAGAAGCCGGCUUGUAUGUUUGAUUGUUUCGCCGUUCUGGGAGAUUGUGCAGAAGAACAUCAGAGACUGGAGAGGCAGCCGGGCUUUGAAAGAUGUCUCCAGGACUUAAGGAAUCGUUUCUUGGAUUGAAGUUUCUCCAACAGCAGUGUUUCUGCCCCCCAGUUCCCACACCUCCACUAUUCCCAGCCAUUCCUCAAGCCUGCGUUUCCCUCCAAGUUUCAGAUGGACAUCUGAAGAGCAUCUUAGUCUAAGACCCAAAAUGGUAGCGUCGGACAUCCAGAUAAAAGAUGCAGCAUGACGUAACUGACUGUACAAACUUAGUCAUGAUAUUCAUGAGCUGAGAAACUCAGUCACUGUUGACAUCAUUCCCAAUAAGUAUUUGUUACCCAAGAAUAUUCAGGAGGAAAUUAAGCUGGAUGUUUUACAAGAAUUAAAGCUUAAAACAGGUGUCCCACGCACACAGUGCUCUGCACUCCUGAAAGGUCAUGACCUCUGUGCCCCAUGCUGUCCUAGUGGAAUAACCACCAUCUCUCAGGGCGAAGCUCUAGAUCAGGUUCGUCUUUUUGGUGAUCCUGACCCUUGCUGAAGGUCACUUAUUCAUCAUACUCACUUUCUUCCUGAGCUAAACUGA